GGUCCAUUCUAUUGCCUGGUCCAGGCAGUUCAGAGUCUAACUGUGGUUUUUUGGUAUCACAUAUGGACAUGAAGCUUCUAAAGGAUAAAAAUCUGCAUUUCUGUGCAAGGGAUAUGUUUGCUUCAGCAUCUUCAGCCUGUUCUUUUUGGUUUUUCUAAAGGAAGAGAGUCCUGGAAAAGGCAUUACUAAAGUAUUGAAGGCAUGGGACCCUGCUCCAGAGGCCUCUGAAGACACUGAGAUCUGCACAUUCUUUUUUGUGCUCCUUUUAAAACAAUUACUUGCCACUUAUAUAACAAAAGUCCAAAAUUCAGGGGACUCAACACACACAAAGAAUAUGCAAUUCAGGAUGGAAAGGGAAGGAAACUGUGUCCAGCAAAACCAACAACCUCUGUGUUCCCUGCUCCAGGCUGAGUGAGCAUGAGGAGUUUUCCAGCCCUGCACUGAGAGCUCACUGCUGCUCCUGGUAAACCACUCUUCAUCUACUCUGCAAUCUACAGAAUAAAGGAACCAGAUAAUCAAUGACACUCUCGUCUGUCCACAUUUAAACAUUUAUGGGAGAGAUGUUGACAGAUGAUCUCACCAUCUAAACUCCCUUUGUAGUUGAUGGAAGGACAAAGACACUUCUGUCUCCUGUUUUUCUAUGCCCAUGUGCAAGUAAACAAAUGGGUAUGCAUGUAUACAAAUGUAAAGGUUAUUUUAAAUGGUGUCCUGACAAAACUAGAAGAAUAGAAUUAGGUGCUCUUUCCUGGCCUUGUUUGUCUUCUCUUCUGUUUUGCCAGUGUAAAGUGAAGUCAGUGGGUUUUGUGUAGCCAGAAGAAUAAAUCUUUUGGAACU